AGGACACUGAGCGUCUAGUCUGGUUACCACAGGAGAUGACAGGAGGGAAGCCACACUCAGCUCGGGGCUCCGGGUCUGUACUGCGGGGAAUCGACCAUCUGAAAGCAAAGCCACGUCCGUGUUUUGCUCAGGGACAAGAGCUGAGAGUCACAGAAGGUCAUGAAC
rnacentral:lncRNA from 1 species